rnacentral:lncRNA from 1 species
UUGUCACUGUCGAUCUCCACUGUUUGAAAAAUUUGAGUCAUUGGUUGUGUUAUAUACUAGGAGGGCUAGUUAAAGACAAAUGCAAUUGUUGUGACGUUUGUGCCAAGAUUUCUGGUGAAUCGUGUGGAGGUCCAUGGCAAAUGUUUGGAAAAUGCGGAAAUCAACUUAAAUGUUCUGAGGAUAAAAACAGCCAAAAAAAAGGAAUAUGUCAACCUACUUGCACAACGAACAACUCGCAACAGUGCAAGAUUUACUGUCCAUAUGGAAACAUACCUGAUGAAAAUUGAUGUCAGACUUGCAGCUGUUUCAAUCUACCUAGAUGCGAGUCAUUAAAAAAUUAUGAGAAAAGUUUGGUUACCACGAAAUCAUGUCCUGAUAUUAAAUGUGCUAUUAGGUGUGCGUAUGGAUUACUAAUUGAUGAAAAUGGUUGUUCAAAAUGCUCUUGCAGAAGUUCACCUGCAACAUGUAAUAAAAAAGGUUGUUGUAAUAUACCUACAAGAUUUUGCAAUAAAGAGAACAGCUGUUGUAUACACGAUUCAAACUGCUAUUCUCGACCCGGAUGGAAUUAAAUCGUUUAUGUUAACACAAAUGCUCUUCAUAAUUUUACGAACAUUUAAUCUUUUUUUUCUUUGUUAAACAAAGUUAUUUAAACAUUAUUAAAGUUGUAAAAAUUUAAUUUGUUUUUAUUAAAAUUAAUUU